rnacentral:sRNA from 1 species
AAUAGAAACAGAUGCCAGGCCAAUAACUCAAA